CUCAGAUGCAAGGUGAUAAGUAGCCACACAUCUCUGGUCCCACAAGUUCAAGUUACAACAAACUGUUUCUUCUUUCUCUCUUUUAACCCAAGUUUCAACCAAGAAGGACCCUGCUUCCUGGUAACACAGCACACCACAAGGUGAAACAGAAACUGGCAACUGCAAGAUGGUUUCUGGUGGCCCAGAGGGGUCUGGGAAAAAGCAAAGCUCCUACUUUGCUGUCCUUGAAAUUCAGAAAAUCCACAACUCCUUCAGUCACUGAAGCUUUGCCUGGAAUAACAAAGGCAGGAAAUGAGAAAGGAGGCAACCAGAAGGAACGGAAGGACCUACAGGGAAAGAAGCUCUCCUGUAUAAUCAAUCUUGACAUUAAAAAGAAAAAAA
rnacentral:lncRNA from 1 species